AUGAAGAUAAUCGCUUGGAACUGCCGGGGGCUUGGGAACUAGCCGGCAGUUCGGGGUCUCCUGGAGCUCCAGGGGGCGGAAGAGCCUGACAUUUUGUUUUGGUCGGAGACAAAAUUGUUUGAGAAAGAGUUAGACAGCUUGAGGUGGCGGCUUGGGAUGCCAAACAUGGUGGCAAAGGACCCGGUUGGUCGGAGUGGGGUUCUGGCUUUGUUCUGGCGAAGGGGGUGA
rnacentral:rRNA from 1 species